UACGUAGGGUGCAAGCGUUGUCCGGAAUUAUUGGGCGUAAAGAGCUCGUAGGCGGUUUGUCGCGUCUGCUGUGAAAACGCGAGGCUCAACCUCGCGCCUGCAGUGGGUACGGGCAGACUAGAGUGCGGUAGGGGAGAUUGGAAUUCCUGGUGUAGCGGUGGAAUGCGCAGAUAUCAGGAGGAACACCGAUGGCGAAGGCAGCUCUCUGGUACGUGACUGACGCUGAGACGCGAAAGCGUGGGUAGCAAACAGG
rnacentral:rRNA from 1 species